rnacentral:rRNA from 1 species
GGUGGAUGCGUGGGACCUGAUCUGGUAGUAGCCAAGCGAUGGGGUGACGCAGGAAGGUAGCUGGGCCAGUCAGUGGUUGUACUGGUGUAAGCCUGUAGGGCGAACGGUAGGCAAAUCCGCCGUUCACACAGCCUGAGAGGUGAUGCGUAGCCGAUUGAGGCGAAUUCAGUGAUCCUAUGCUGCCGAGAAAAGCCUCUAGUGAGUUGUUACACGGCCCGUACCCCAAACCGACACAGGUGGUCAGGUAGAGAAUACUAAGGCGAUCGAGAUAACUAUGGUUAAGGAACUCGGCAAAAUGCCCCCGUAACUUCGGGAGAAGGGGGGCCCCUGCCGGUGAUGGAACUUGCUUCCUGAGCUGGUGUGGGCCGCAGAGACCAGUGAGAAGCGACUGUUUACUAAAAACACAGGUCCGUGCGAAGUCGUAAGACGAUGUAUACGGACUGACGCCUGCCCGGUGCUGGAAGGUUAAGAGGACCGGUUAGCCAGCAAUGGCGAAGCUGAGAAUUUAAGCCCCAGUAAACGGCGGUGGUAACUAUAACCAUCCUAAGGUAGCGAAAUUCCUUGUCGGGUAAGUUCCGACCUGCACGAAUGGCGUAACGACUUCUCAGCUGUCUCAACCAUAGACUCGGCGAAAUUGCAUUACGAGUAAAGAUGCUCGUUACGCGCGGCAGGACGAAAAGACCCCGGGACCUUCACUACAGCUUGGUAUUGGUGUUCGGUUCGGUUUGUGUAGGAUAGGUGGGAGACUGUGAAGCGGUGACGCCAGUUACUGUGGAGUCGUUGUUGAAAUACCACUCUGAUCGUAUUGGAUACCUCAACCUCGGACCAUGAUCUGGUUCAGGGACAGUGCCUGGUGGGUAGUUUAACUGGGGCGGUUGCCUCCUAAAAUGUAACGGAGGCGCCCAAAGGUUCCCUCAGCCUGGUUGGCAAUCAGGUGUCGAGUGCAAGUGCACAAGGGAGCUUGACUGUGAGACUGACAAGUCGAGCAGGGACGAAAGUCGGGACUAGUGAUCCGGCACCGGCAAGUGGAAGCGGUGUCGCUCAACGGAUAAAAGGUACCCCGGGGAUAACAGGCUGAUCUUCCCCAAGAGUCCAUAUCGACGGGAUGGUUUGGCACCUCGAUGUCGGCUCGUCGCAUCCUGGGGCUGGAGUAGGUCCCAAGGGUUGGGCUGUUCGCCCAUUAAAGCGGCACGCGAGCUGGGUUUAGAACGUCGUGAGACAGUUCGGUCUCUAUCCGCCGCGCGCGUAAGAAACUUGAGGAAGGCUGUCCCUAGUACGAGAGGACCGGGACGGACGAACCUCUGGUGUGCCAGUUGUUCCACCAGGAGCACCGCUGGUUGGCUACGUUCGGAAGGGAUAACCGCUGAAAGCAUCUAAGCGGGAAGCCUGUUCCAAGAUGAGGUUUCUCACCCCCUCGAGGGGGUAAGGCCCCCGGCAGACCACCGGGUUGAUAGGCCAGAACUGGAAGUACAGCAAUGUAUGCAGGUGACUGGUACUAAUAGGCCGAGGACUUACCACG